GGGGGUGCUCCGGUUUCGACGGACGCGAUAAAGCUUGAGUUGCAGGCGGGAGUGAAGGUUCCCUAAACUGACAAAACUUAUAACUGCCAAACGUAGAGAAGACGAAGAGUCUGAAAACGAACAGUUAGCUCUCGCGGCGUAAGUCGCGGCUUAAAAGAGCCGGAAAUCUUUUCGCGCUGUUCCUAGCGGAAGGAAUUUCUGUUGCUGACAGGGACUUGCUUGCCGUCCUUUUCGUCGGGCGGAUGAGGACUUUUAGACGGAAUACGGAAAAGACGCCUGCCAUGCCGCUACCUUUUCCCGACAAAUACCUCGCUUGGCUAAGCCUGUAGACGCGCCUGAUUUGCGCGCCCGGACGGGGGUUCGAUUCCCCCCAUCUCCAGCG
rnacentral:tmRNA from 1 species